rnacentral:rRNA from 1 species
AUUGAACGCUGGCGGCAGGCCUAACACAUGCAAGUCGAACGGUAACAGGAAGAAGCUUGCUUCUUUGCUGACGAGUGGCGGACGGGUGAGUAAUGUCUGGGAAACUGCCUGAUGCAGGGGGAUAACUACUGGAAACGGUAGCUAAUACCGCAUAACGUCGCAAGACCAAAGAGGGGGACCUUCGGGCCUCUUGCCAUCGGAUGUGCCCAGAUGGGAUUAGCUAGUAGGUGGGGUAACGGCUCACCUAGGCGACGAUCCCUAGCUGGUCUGAGAGGAUGACCAGCCACACUGGAACUGAGACACGGUCCAGACUCCUACGGGAGGCAGCAGUGGGGAAUAUUGCACAAUGGGCGCAAGCCUGAUGCAGCCAUGCCGCGUGUAUGAAGAAGGCCUUCGGGUUGUAAAGUACUUUCAGCGGGGAGGAAGGGAGUAAAGUUAAUACCUUUGCUCAUUGACGUUACCCGCAGAAGAAGCACCGGCUAACUCCGUG